GGAGAUGUGGUCUAGUGGUAAGGUACUUGUCAUGAAGUGGGCUUUUAUCAGCUUGAUUACGUGCCUUUAGGGCAACUCUUAUGAGUAGUGACUUCAUCUUAAGAACAUGAGGCGAUAUUUCAAUUCUAUCCAUCCCCA